UUUGAAGCACAGAACAAGUCUUCAUCAGACACAGAAUUUGCUGGCACCUGGAUUUUGGACUUUCCAGUCUUAUGAACUGAUUAGCUCAAAUUCUUCUUGGAAGGGCUUGCAAGGUUUGCAGGAGGGUGCACAGUCGAUCUGGGGAGAGAAGUAAACACAAGCAAUGAAGAUAGUGGAGUGGCCUGGACGGGAAGCUUCUUUUACAAAGGAAGGAUGACAAGAGCCCACAGUUCUUAUUGUGUAGGUAAAAUGAGCCAGGGGCCAUGCCAACCGCAUCACAUGGAUUAUCACCUUGGAUUUUAACAGUAAGCCAAAGUAACAGGAAGAGGCAAUGAGAAGCCAGAGAGAAAAAUCAUGGACAACAGCAUGGGCAAUGGAAUCCUGGGACCGAACGGCUCCUGACAAGAGGAACCGUUGAAUGGCUCUAAGAAGAGGAACAACAUGAUUUGACUUAGGUUUUUGAGGGAUCUCUCCAGCUACAGAUUGAAGAAUGAUUGUAAAGAGGGUUCAUCCUCUCAACUCUCUAUUUGUGUCCAGUCAAAAUUCGCAAUGCCAACACAAUAGUUUCUAGUCCCAUGAUCCACUGAGAAAAACAUGGAUUCUUUAAAAGUAAGUGGCAAAGUACCCCUGAUUUUGAAACAUGUAUGGUCGUGAUAUCAAGAGUGACAACCUGGGCAAAAGAGAGCCAUUGCAAAGAAGAAAGGCCUUUAGGGAAAUGGAGCAGAAAGAGGAAGCAGUCAUCACACUUUAUAGAAACUUUGUCAUCUUUGAAGAGUCUGAAAGUCUCUGUUUACCCUGCUUCUCCAGCCUGAGUUCCUUUUUUUUCUCCAUUCUGCUUGUUGAACUCCUGCCAAACUCCGAUUUUGACAUCAAAGCCCACCUUGAAUGCUGCUUGUCGCUAAAGCCAUCGCUGGCAUUUCCAGACAUUGUCAAUAUCUACUGGACUAAAGAAAUUCUCUACUAAUCAGAAAAGGAAUUGGUCUGUAUUGAAGCUGGAAAGAAAAUCAGAGGAGCCAAUGCUGUCAGAGUGCAUCCAAGGACCAUUUAAAGAUGUCCUGGCCGGAGGUCUGGGCUGUCAGGUCCUGCCAGCAGAAUGAAGAGGACAUGGAGGCAUUUUCAGAUGAAGAGAAACUAACAGGAUUUUUCAGCAGACUUACUCUAAAUGAAUGGCUACAGGAAAUACUAUAAAAAUAAAGGAAAUGAUAAAAGAAGAAACUUUGUAACAUCAAGAAAGAAGG
rnacentral:lncRNA from 1 species